GGCAACCGCUUAAACCGUUCCCAAAGGUAACCGAAGUAGAAAAAGCACAGAGAGUUAAAGUUCCCGUUCUGUGAGCACUUGAGAAAUUAAAGUUACUGUUCUGGUGCCCCAACAACGAUUCAGCAGAUAAGCUUUUGUCAUCAGAAACAUGUGGCAACAAUCUAAACCUUCGUCAGUGCAAACAACACCAGAGAACCGUCCGAUUUGGAAAAAGAAAGAAAAAGCCUAGGUCAACAGCGAAUAUCCUGCUUCCUCUUCUCGCUUAUUUAUAAUAUAUGCAUGGAUGGAUAUCACAAAUCAUCAGGCCCUCGGCCCACAAUCCAUGUUUUGCAGAGAUUCACCGGUCGAAGGUACGAAUCCCCUCCCUUAAAUCUUAAAACUUAACAAGUUCCAUAUAGUGAGAUCGUCUCAUAAAUGCUUCGUCGUUGCAGCAAUCCGUUUAGUCAACUCUUUCUUGUUUUCCGUUUUCCCUUUCUUGUUGGAUAUUUUGUGGGUUACGCCUGGAACACAUGAAAUGAAAUGAUGGUGGUUCUUAACGGCCUUCUGGAAGUUUUAGUAGGAUAAGGAACCCUAGAACACUGUGAAGCGAAAGAAGAGAGCACUCCUGGCUAGUCUCUUUUCAGGGAGGCGCUUGGUGACAUUAGUUUUAGUGUACGGCAAUGGUCGGGCAUGAAGAGUCUCGCGAUAAGCAUAGAUGGGGAGAAAGCAAAUUGGUAUACAUGAGAAAAGGGCACGGCAAGGGGGCUAAAGCAAAUCCUGGGUUUGAUACAGCUAAUAAUAUAACAGCAGGGCAAGCGACAAGGGAGGGCGAUAACAUGACGGAUGUGAAUGGAAGAGGAGGAGAAGGAGCAGGAGCAGGAGCAGGAACAACAACAGGAGCAAGAGUAGCAGCACCAGCAGCAUCAGCAUCAGAUGGUUCUUCGAGCUUGAGCGGGAAGAAUGACGAUGCCCCCAAGGAAACCAUGCCUGAGCAUGGCGUUGGGGGGUUGCGGAACAGGGACAUAGAAGCUGCCCAUGUCACUAUUAAGUUGGAUGGGUACUCAAAGCAAGAGAUAAGGGAACUUCGCAGAAAGUUGACAAACGAAUUGGAGCAGGUGAGGGGUACGUUUAAGAAAGUUGAAGCAAGAGAAUUGCAACUGAGGGGGUGCCUGCCGGGAGGGAAUACUAGCUACAGUGCCUCCCAGUUCUCUGGCAAUGAUGGGAGGAACAAUGGCGGGAAGGAGGUUACGUCCGAAGUAGCUUCUGGUGGGGCAAUUACGCCCAAGCAGAGUGCAAGAGAGUCGAGGCCAGCGCGACAGUUGAGUAUAUCUCUUUUUGAACACAACCCAGCCACAAGUGAUGUGGCAGACAAAGGAAAGCGCACUCCAAAGGCUAAUCAGUAUUACCGCAAUUCAGAUUUUGUUUUAGGAAAAGAUAAAUUCCCACCUGCAGAGAAUAAGAAAUCUAAAUCUGGUGGCAGUAAGAAAACUGUACCAUCCAAACUAUAUGAUAUGUCGUCUCAGAAGUUUCCAAAUGAGGUGUUCAAGCAGUGCAGCUCGCUACUUUCAAAGUUGAUGAAGCACAAGCACGGUUGGGUGUUCAAUUCCCCUGUUGAUGCAGAGGCUCUUGGACUUCAUGAUUAUCACACCAUAAUAAAAAAUCCAAUGGACCUCGGAACUGUGAAAUCCAGACUGGAUAAAAACAUGUACAAUUCACCCACAUCUUUUGCACAAGACAUAAGAUUGACAUUCUCUAAUGCCAUGACUUAUAACCCUGAAGGGCAUGAUGUGCAUAACUUGGCUAAGCAGUUGCUGCAGUUAUUUGAGGAGCGAUGGAAUCUUAUAUACACAGAGCACAUUGAAAGCAAGAUGAACUCGAGAUAUGGAAGUGCGCAGACACCUGGGGCAAGUUGUAGUGUGAAGAAACUUCCUUUAGCAGACAUAAAAAAGAACUUUAAGAAACCUGAAACAGCGGGAGGGCCAUCCCUUUCAAAGAUAAGAUCAAUAAAUCAUUCUGCAAGCAGAACUCCAACCGGCAAAAAACCCAAGGCCAAAGAUCCCCAUAAACGUGCUAUGACUUUUGAAGAAAAGCAAAAGCUAAGUGCAAACCUUCAAAAUUUGCCCGCAGAUAGAUUGGAGCUUAUAGUUCAGAUUAUAAAGAAGAGGAAUCCAUCUCUAUGUCAACAAGACGAAGAGAUAGAGGUUGACAUAGACACUUUUGACACUGAAACGCUUUGGGAACUUGAUAGAUUUGUAACAAACUUCAAGAAAAGCCUCAGCAAACUUAAGAAAAAAGAACAACUUGCUCAGCAGGCUAAAAGUAUCAAUGAACUGGUCAGAGACAAGUGUCCCACCACCGUGUCUGAGCUGCCAAAGAAAAAUAAGAACGGAGAGCAAGGGCAACAAGAGUUUGAAACAGGAGACAAUAUUCUGCCAUCAAAUUGCCCUCUUGUUAAGAUGGAGAAGAAUGGUGGCUCUGCAAGUAGGUCGAGCAGCUCGAGCAGCUCGAGCAGUGAUUCUGGUUCUUCUUCUAGUGACUCCGAUACUGGGAGUUCCUCUGGAAGCGAGUCUAAUGCCUAUGCUGCACAUUCACCUAUUUUGGGGUCAAAUGCAAUGUCGGGGCCGAUAUAGACAAUAUUGUGUCAGAAGCUUAAUGGAGAUAAAGGAGCUCAAGGGAUCUCUUGUACAGAGAUGAUUCUUGGUGAGGGAUCGAGGAUGCCUAAAUUUUGGUACAAACCCAGUGAGGUGUCUUCGCGCUUGAUAUGGAGUUGAAGAUUUUUUUGGGUUUUAUGUCACCAGGAUCCAUUGUGUCACAGGAUUCGAUUUAGGCAUACCAUUAAGUGUGAUCACUUUGGACUGGUAUAGAUUUAAGGAGGAAGAAGAAAUAUAUAAUUCUAUCAAGACUCAUCAGGUAACAAAGUCGUGGAUGUCUUUGUCACCUUUAGGAGAUGAUCACAAAAUCACCUGUACAUUUUUAAAAGACAUCCAUAUGGGUUGAAAGAAAGACAAUUGCUGCAAUUAAGGCCGGCCAUCACCUUAAAAGCAAUUUCUCUCCACAGGUGUUCUUUGUCUAUCAUGGCUACAGGAUAAGAAGUGCUCAAUGUUCUACACUCCAGCCUUUCACAUGGCAUUGAUAAGCAAGAAGAGGUUGAGAACUUCGUGACCUCCUUUGUUCUGUUCAUACUGAAUGAACAGAUUUAAGCCAUGUUCUGUACUAUUAAUUGUUGAUUGAAUGGAUGUAUUAUAUGAUCUCUUUUUUAGUUCUGAUGCCCUGAAUUUGUUAGAAAAAAUUGAGUUGUAAAAUUAAAUUUGAAUUGUUGUCAAAUGCUAUUUCCUUGAAGUCGGAGUGAUUCCUAGCUUGUCAUUACAGGUGUAAGAUCAGCUGCUAUCCAAUCUGUAGUUCAGUUCAAAUAAGCAUACUGUUGACAGCCAGUUAUCUUUUUAACAACUUUAGAGAAGGCUUUGAUAAUUACGAUCCUUUGGUAUUAUGGAUA